rnacentral:tmRNA from 1 species
GGGGCUGAUUCUGGAUUCGACGGGAUUUGCGAAACCCAAGGUGCAUGCCGAGGGGCGGUUGGCCUCGUAAAAAGCCGCAAAAAAUAGUCGCAAACGACGAAAACUACGCUUUAGCAGCUUAAUAACCUGCUUAGAGCCCUCUCUCCCUAGCCUCCGCUCUUAGGACGGGGAUCAAGAGAGGUCAAACCCAAAAGAGAUCGCGUGGAAGCCCUGCCUGGGGUUGAAGCGUUAAAACUUAAUCAGGCUAGUUUGUUAGUGGCGUGUCCGUCCGCAGCUUGCAAGCGAAUGUAAAGACUGACUAAGCAUGUAGUACCGAGGAUGUAGGAAUUUCGGACGCGGGUUCAACUCCCGCCAGCUCCACCA